rnacentral:misc_RNA from 1 species
UUGUCUUGGUGGGUGUUUGAAGGAUGCAAGAAUGUUGUUUAAUGAGAUGCCUGAAAAAAAUGUGGUUUCUUGGAAUGUGAUGCUGAAUGGGUAUGCUAAGGCAGGGCUAGUCGAUUUAGCUAAAGAGGUUUUUGAACAGAUUGUUGAUAAGGAUGUGGUCUCUUGGGGUACAAUUAUUGAUGGUUAUUUGCAAGCAGCAAGGUUGAAUGAUGCUGUCAAAAGAUACCGUGAUAUGCUAUAUACUGG